rnacentral:tRNA from 1 species
GGGGCUAUAGCUCAUCUGGGAGAGCGCGUCGCUGGCAGUGACGAGGUGGUCGGUUCAAGUCCGACUAGCUCCACCA